CCGCUUUUAGCUCAGUGGUCGAGCGGUGGCUUUGGAAGCCACAGGUCGGUGGUUCGAACCCGUCAGGGCACA
rnacentral:tRNA from 1 species